CAAGCGUGCACAGACAUUAUUGGCAAGGCUGCGGACCAUCACUGGGCGUUUUUCCGCCCCCUCCUCUCUUUUUUCCGCCGCCGUUACGUGUCGUUUACCGGCGGCCACCUCCGGGAUGACGUCGGCACGGCACGUCGAGCCAAACGCGUCUCCCGCCCGGAGAUGUUAUGCGGUGGCAACCGUUAGGAAGUGAGCGACAAUGACCGCAUUCCAGCAGCUCGUCCGGCAAAUUAGCUGCUUAGCAUGUUUGUUUUGUUCACAUCUCACCUCCCUGGAAGUCAAAACUUGUCACGUUUUUUCCUUUUUAUGGUCAACCUCCGUGGAUUUAUAUGCGCGUGGAAUAUAAGCGGAAGAGGAUAAAAAACCGUAAAGGGUUUUUUUUUUCCACGCUAGACAUGCCUGGUUUAUGGAGCCAAACUGGGCGAGACUAAAAAGUCUGUUUUUUUAAAAUAUUCCUAGUAUUUAUUUAUUCCUUUUUGUGGAUGAUUUUAAAGACGAGGAGCUGAUCGGGAGUCAUCAUGGGGGAGCCCAGCCUGGACGACUCCAACGUCAAGGUGGCGGUUCGUGUUCGGCCCAUGAACCGGAGAGAAAAGGAAUUGAACACCAAGUGCGUGGUGGAGAUGGUGAAGAACCAGACCAUCCUCAAUCCGGCGGGGGCGAACCUGGGCAAGAGCGACUCCAGGAAUCAGUCCAAGGUGUUUGCAUACGACUACUGCUUCUGGUCCAUGGACGAGUCGGACCAAGAGAAGUUUGCCGGUCAGGAAGUGGUGUUUCAGUGCCUUGGGGAAAGUCUUCUUCACAACGCCUUCCUGGGCUACAACGCCUGCAUCUUUGCCUAUGGACAAACUGGUUCCGGAAAGUCCUACACCAUGAUGGGUUCUGGAGACCAGCCGGGCCUCAUCCCCCGCCUUUGCAGCGCGUUGUUUGACAGAACCCUGACGGAACAGCGGGAGCAGGAGAACUUCACCGUGGAGGUUUCCUACAUGGAGAUCUACAACGAAAAGGUCCGGGAUUUGCUGGAUCCAAAAGGCGGCAGACAAACACUGAGGGUCCGAGAGCACAAAGUGUUGGGUCCCUACGUGGACGGCCUGUCUCGGCUAGCGGUGGCGAGCUACAAGGACAUUGAGUCUCUGAUGUCGGAGGGGAAUAAAUCUCGCACGGUGGCCGCCACCAACAUGAACGAGGAGAGCAGUCGGUCCCACGCCGUCUUCAACAUCAUCCUCACGCACACGCUCACGGACGUGCAGUCUGGGACCAGCGGUGAGAAAGUGAGUCGUUUGAGUUUGGUCGACUUGGCCGGAAGUGAGCGAGCGGCAAAAACCGGAGCGGCGGGAGAGCGCCUGAAGGAGGGAAGCAACAUCAACAAGUCUCUGACGACCCUCGGUCUGGUGAUCUCCGCCCUCGCAGAACAAGGGACAGCCAAGAACAAGACCAAGUUUGUUCCCUACAGGGACUCGGUCCUGACAUGGCUGCUAAAGGACUGCCUGGGGGGCAACAGCCGCACCGCCAUGGUGGCGACCGUGAGCCCGGCGGCGGACAAUUACGAGGAGACGCUGUCCACGCUGCGCUACGCCGACCGAGCGAAGAGCAUCGUCAACCACGCCGUGGUCAACGAGGACCCCAACGCUCGCAUCAUCAGGGAGCUCCGGGAGGAAGUGGAGAAGCUGCGAGUACAACUGACUCAAGCUGAGUCGCUGAAAGCCCCCGAGCUCAAGGAGCGUCUGGAGGAGUCGGAGAAGUUGAUCCAAGAGAUGACCAUCACGUGGGAGGACAAGCUUCGCAAGACGGAGGAGGUUGCACAGGAGCGCCAGAAGCAGCUGGAGAGUCUCGGCAUUUCCCUGCAGUCGUCGGGAAUCAAAGUGGGCGAUGAUAAGUGCUUCCUGGUCAACCUUAACGCGGAUCCGGCACUCAACGAGCUGCUGGUGUACUACCUGAAGGAGGACCACACCCAGGUGGGCUCUGCAGACUCCCAGGACAUCCAGCUGUGCGGGAUGGGCAUCCAGGCCGAGCAUUGCGUCAUCGACAUCACAGGCGUCACCGCCGUCACCCUCACCCCUUACCCCAACGCCCGGACGUGUGUGAACGGGUCCCCCGUGACCGCCGCGCUGCAGCUUCACCACGGCGACCGCAUCCUCUGGGGAAACAACCACUUCUUCAGGAUAAAUCUGCCCAAGCGGCGCGCGCGGGCCGCUGAGGACGAGGAGGGCGACGGCGGGGGGAUGAAGAAGAGCGGGAGCAGCGAGCAGCUGGACGCGGACGGCGACACGGCCAGUGAGGUGUCCAGCGAAGUCAGCUUCUCCUACGAGUUCGCCCAGACCGAAGUCAUGAUGAAGGCUCUCGGCAACAACGACCCCAUGCAGAGCAUCCUGCAGUCCCUGGAGAGGCAGCACGAGGAGGAGAAGCGCUCGGCUCUGGAGCGGCAGAGGCAGAUGUACGAGCAGGAGCUCCAGCAGCUCCGGCGGAAGCUCAAUCCCGACCGCCUGUCCUCGGGCCACCCGGCGCCGCCGGCGUCCGGCCAGCAGUCGCACUAUCGCAGCAUGGAGCGGCUCAGCGUGGGCGGCAUGAGCCAUUCCAACAGCGCCCAGAGCCGACUAAAACAGUGGAACGACGAAAGGGAGGCGGUGUUGCUGAGGAGUUUGCGGCGGUUGCGGGAGCAAAUAGUGCGAGCCAACCUCCUGGCGCAAGAAGCCUGCUUCAUCGCCGACGAGCUGGAGCGCCACACCGAGUACAGGGUCACCCUCCAGAUCCCCUCGGACAAUUUAAACGCCAACCGCAAGAGGGACGCCGUGCUCAGCGAACCGGCCAUCCAGGUACGACGCCGCUGCCGAGGGAAGCAAAUCUGGAGUUUGGAGAAAAUCGAGAACCGCCUGGUGGACAUGAGAGAACUGUACCAGGAGUGGCAGGACUACCAGCACCAGGACCACGACAACCCAAUGAUGCGCUCGUAUUUCCGCCGGGCCGACCCCUUCUUUGACGAGCAAGAGAACCACAGCCUGAUCGGCGUCGCCAACGUCUUCUUGUCCUGCCUUUUCUACGACGUCAAGCUGCAGUACGCCGUUCCCAUCAUCAACCAGAAGGGGGAGGUGGCUGGACGUCUCCAUGUGGAGGUGGUGAGGGUGGGGGGGGCUUUAGAGGACAACAUUGCUGGGGGAGACGAUCCUGACAACAACCUGGACUCUGAAAUCCAGGACCGCAAACUCGUCUGUAUGAUCAAGAUCCUGCAAGCCACCGGUCUCCCCCAGUACCUGUCCAACUUCGUCUUCUGCCAGUACUCCUUCUGGGACCAGCCCGAGCCCAUCAUCGUCGGUCCUGAGGUGGACCCCUCGUCCUCGUCGCCCAGCACCAAGGACCCACACUGCAUGGUGGUGUUUGACAGCUGCAAGGAGCUGGCCGUGUCCGUGUCCGAGGAUUUCAUCGAGUACCUGACGGAAGGAGCGGUGGCCAUCGAGGUGUUUGGACACAGGCAGGCCGACGCAGGCAGGAACCCCGCCUUGUGGGACCUCAGCAUCAUCCAGGCUAAGACCCGGACGCUAAGAGACAGGUGGAGCGAGGUAACGCGGCGUCUAGAACUCUGGAUCCAAAUCCUUGAGAUUAACGAAAACGGAGACUUUGUGCCGGUGGAAGUCAUCCCUGGCAGAGACGUAAGCACCGGAGGAAUCUUCCAGCUUCGCCAAGGUCAGGCCAGGAGGAUCCAGGUGGAGGUGCGCUCCGUCCAGGACUCGGGCACCAUGCCGCUGAUAGCGGAGAUCGUGCUGGCGGUGUCGGUGGGCUGCGUGGAGGUCACGCCCACCAUAAACGGCCAGGAGGGAGACGACAUGGACAGUUAUCAGGAGCGAGACCUGGAGCGCUUGAGACGUCAGUGGUUGGCAGCUCUCACCAAGAGACAGGAAUACUUGGACCAGCACCUGCAGAGCCUUGUCAGCAAAGCAGAAAAAAGCGAGGACGACAUGGAGAGAGAGGCGCAGCUGCUGGAGUGGCGGCUGACUCUGACGGAAGAGCGCAACGCGGUCAUGGUGCCCUCUGCUGGUAGCGGCAUUCCUGGCGCGCCUGCAGAAUGGGUUCCUCUUCCGGGCAUGGAGACUCACAUUCCGGUCCUCUUCCUGAACCUCAAACCCGACGACCUCAGCUCUCAGGACCAGUUCGAGGUUCCCGAGGCGGGGGGCUGGGACGCCACGCUGUGCGGCGAAGACGAGGACGACUUCUUCGACCUGCAGAUUGUCAAACACUACGACGGCGAGGUGAAGGCGGAGGCGUCCUGGGACUCCACCGUCCACGAGAGCCCCCAGCUCAGCCGAGGGGGCGCCUGGCCCGACAACCGCGUGUUCCUCACCGUCCGAGCGGUGGUGCAGCUCAGCCACCCCGCCGACAUGCAGCUGGUCCUGCGGAAGAGGAUCUGCGUCAACGUCAACCCCGGGCGCCAGGGCUUCGCGCACAACUUCCUGAGGAGGAUGUCGGCCCGCAGCAACAUCCCCGGCUGCGGCGUCACCUUCGAGGUGGUGUCCAACGUCCCCGGGGACGCCCCCGGGACCGAGGACAGGGAGAUGCUGGCCCGCCUGGCCGCCAGCGCCCACAGCAGCCAGUCAGCGGACGACGAGGCCGCCAUCGAGAAGUACCUCAGGAGCGUGCUCAGUCUGGAGAACAUCCUCACGCUGGAUCGCCUCAGACAGGAAGUAGCAGUGAAGGAACAGCUUGCUGCAAGAGGCCGAAGUAACAGACGGAGUAUCAGCUCCCCGUCUGUAAACCGGUUGUCUGGAAGCAGACAGGACCUGUCCACAAACUGCCUGCUGGAGGACAAGGGUCGAUGGGAGAGCCAACAGGACAUCUUCAUGCCCUCUCAGUUCCACCGCCCCCUCCCCCGCCCCGCCUCCUCGCCCUCCACCUACUGCCCCCCCUCCUCCAGCCCGCCCUCCGCCGUCAUCGGCACAAACGACCAGGAGGCGGAGCAAGGUCGCUCAGGACUCGCUGCCUCUUAUCUUUCAGUGAAGGCGUUGGUUCCUCAGAUGCCCAAACUGCUCAAGUCUCUGUUCCCGGCGCGGGACGACAAGAAGGGUUUGAGGCCGUCGCCGCCCAGCCAGCAGGUGGGCAAAGAUGGCCGCCAGGGUGGCUCAGACACCGGCGUUGACGCUUGUUUGUCCGUCCCUCAGCACGUGCCCCGCAUCCUGUCGCCUCCAGGGGGCGACGAUGGCAAGAUGAAGGCGGACAACACGGCCGCCCUCCUGCGAGCCCCGCCCAGAGACCGCCGGUCCGACCUGUCGGAAGUCCCGCCUCUUCCUGUGCAUGACCCGCAUGACAGCGCCCCCCUCAGCCCGCUCAGCCAGUCGUCCAGCGGCUACUUCUCCGCUAGCGUCUCCACGGCGACCCUGUCCGACGCCCUGCAGCCCUCGCCCUCAUCGUCCUCCUCCCUGCUCGCCGCGGACGCCGCCGCCGCCCCCCCUCCCCACCGCAACGGCGUGACCGCAGACGACUUCCUCUCCGUGCAGACUCCGGCUCAAGUGGGCCCGGCGGACGGGGGGGAGCGUUGCCGUGACGACGCGGCGCCCGACUGGCUGACGGAGGGCGUCCACGUGACCAUCGGCAGCAGCAAGGCGGGCACGGUGCGCUACGUGGGAGCCACGCAGUUUGCGGAGGGCGUGUGGGCGGGGGUGGAGCUGGACUCCCCAGUGGGCAAACACGACGGCUCGGUCGGGGGACGCCGCUACUUCCAGUGUCGAGCGGCGCACGGCGUGAUGGUUCGCCCGGACCGCCUGACGCGCCGAGACCGCAACGGGCGGCGGACGCAGGACGUCGGCGCCCCGGGUCACGUCCCCGUCCUGAGAGGCGAGAACCGCAAGUCGUGGAGCAGCUGAGACGCCAUCUUGGUGGCGUGACGACAGGAAGUCAGUAGGAGGAGCCUUUUUCCCUUGAGUUCGGGGUUUGUUUGUUUUUCACCCAGAAUGCAUUGCUGCAGCCUCGCUCCACCUCCCCGGUCUUCCCACGGCGUGCCUUCAUCGGCGCGUUGAGGCCACCUCAGGAACUGCAGGUUUGUGCCGCCACGCCACUUUUUGUGUGCAAUACGCUCCACCGCCAACUGGGGGGAAAAAUGACAUCGCUCUUAUUUUGAAAGGACUCUUAUUUUGGCGGGGAAACGUUAUAAAAAUGAAGUCCACCACAAAAAAACUUUCCAGCGAACAUUCCAGAGACUUCAACUCGUGAUUUAUUUAUGGACGUCAAUCUGACGAGUGGCGAGGCCCACUUCCUGUCGGUGAAUAGGCUCCGCCCACCGCACAGGAAGUCAUCCGUGCGGUGUUUGCCUGGCGACAGGAAGUGACGCUCGUUGGGCCUUCUCGUGUAACUGAACUUUUUUAUGCUGACGACUCGUCAAAGAGGCGGGUCGGUAAACUGUUGCUAUGACGACGAUAGCGACACAGAAGUACGGUGGUGAAAAUCACGCCGACGACGUUUGGAUCACGCUGAAGGAACUUUUUGUCGUAAUGUUACAAAAGUAGUAUCGGUCUUUUUACGUUUAUUUCAGUACGAAUGUAAUUUUACUCUCAGUAAAAAAAAAUCCUUAUAUUGCAAAUAUUUUUCUUGAAGAAAAAAAGACUUGUCGUACAAAUACGACUUUUUAUUCUGACAACUUUUUGCUUAUUUUUUUAUUACGACUUUUCUUGAAAUUUUUUUCACCAUUUCAUUUUUUUGUUUGCAACAUUGCAAUGUUUGUCUCAUACGAUUACUUUUUUCCACAACAAAUAUAACUUUGACGGAGCAUUACGACGUUUUGUCACAUUACGACGUUUUGUCACAUUACGACUUUUUGUCACAAUACGACGUUUUGUCACAUUACGACUUUUUGUCACAAUACGACGUUUUGUCACAUUACGACUUUUUGUCACAAUACCACGUUUUGUCAUAUUACGACGUUUUGUCGCAAUACGACGUUUUGUCAUAUUACGACGUUUUGUCACAUUACGUUUUGUCACAAUACGACGUUUUGUCAUAUUACGACGUUUUGUCACAUUACAACGUUUUGUCACAAUACGUUUUGUCAUAUUACGACGUUUUGUCACAACGUUUUGUCACAAUACGACGUUUUGUCAUAUUACGACGUUUUGUCACAUUACGUUUUGUCACAAUACGACGUUUUGUCAUAUUACGUUUUGUCACAAUACGACGUUUUGUCAUAUUACGACGUUGUGUCACAUUACAACGUUUUGUCAUAAUACGACGUUUUGUCAUAUUACGACGUUUUGUCACAUUACGUUUUGUCACAAUACGACGUUUUGUCAUAUUACGACGUUGUGUCACAUUACAACGUUUUGUCAUAAUACGACGUUUUGUCAUAUUACGACGUUUUGUCACAACGUUUUGUCUCAACAUGACGUUUUGUCACAUUAUGUUAUGCCACAUGGUCACAUUACGGCGUUUUGUUGAUCUUUACGACUUUAUUACAGUUUUUUAAGGACUUUAGUUUUGUGACAUUGCAACUUCUUCCUCAAAAAAAAAUCCUUAUAUUUCAAAUAUUUUUCUUGGAAAAAAAAAAGACUUGUCGUACAAAUACGACUUUUUAUUCUGACAACAUUUUGCUUAUUUUUUCAUUACGACUUUUUUCUUGAAUUUUUUUCUCACCAUUACAUUUUCUUGUUUGCAACAUUGCAAUGUUUGUCUCAUACGAUUACUUUUUUCCCCAACAAAUAUAACUUUGACGGAGCAUUACGACGUUUUGUCACAUUACGAUGUUUUGUCACAUUACGAUGUUUUGUCACAUUACGACGUUUUGUCACAUUAUGACGUUUUGUCACAUUACGACAUUUUGUCACAUUACGUUUUGUCACUUUUUGACGUUUCGUCACAUUACGUUUUCACACACAUUUUUUCCCAUUACGAAGUUUUGUCACAUAACGACGUUUUGUUGAUAUUUACGACUGUUACGUUUUUUUAACAACUUUAAUUUUGUGACAUUGCAACUUUUUCCUCAAACUCUGAUAACUUCGACAUAACAUUACGACUUUUUUCUCAUUUCACAACUUCCGUGUUGACUCACUUAGUUACGACUUUGUUCUUAUGAUUUUUUUCUUAAAAAUGAUGACUUAAAAUGUAAAGAAAAAUCCUAUAAAUAUUUUUAAUUACAACUUUUUUUCUAACUUUAUUCUACAAAUACAGUUUACAACUAUUUUCUAUUUUUAACAAUUACUACUUGACUUCACUUCAAAAUUAUGACUUUCAUGUAUAAACAAAAGCUUUUUUUUUUUUCAGAUUAUUACAUUUUCUUAAAAAUGACUACAAUUUACAGAUUUUGUCUUCAAAACAUUUUUUUUAUUAUUUUAUUGCAAACAAAAAAAACUAAAUAAAAAAAUGAUUUGGUUAAAUUUAAUUACUACUUUUUUCUUAAAAAUUUAAAUGAAUUACGAAAAAUGUCAUGACUUUUUUCAUAUUUUUAUCAAUUAUGACAGAAUUGCGACUUUAUUGCAUGGAAAAAGUUUAUGAAUUUUGUCCAACUUUUAUCAAGUUUUUACAUUUAAAAAUAAUUUUCUCAGACUAUUACAUUUGCUUAAAAACUACAACUUUUUUGCGACAUUGCAACUUUUUACUCGACAAACCUAAUUUCAGCAUGACACUACAACUUUUUUCUCAUAUUUCCGAACAUUAUGUGUCGUACGUAGUUCCGACUUUGUUCUUAUGACUUUUUUAUUGCCGCAUUUUUCUUCAAAACUAUCACGUACGUGUACGAAGAAAGUUUACGACUUUUGCCCUAUUUUUAACAAUUACGACUUUACUUUAAAAUUAUGACUUUUGUGUUCGAACAAAAGCAUUUUUGUUAGAUUGUUACAUUUCAUUAAAAAUAGCUACAAUAUAAAUACUUUAUUUAAAAAAAAAAAUUAGAUUAUUUAGUUGCAAACAAAAAAACUUAAAAAAAAAAAUUUGAUUAAAUUAAAUUACAACUUUUUUCUUCAAAAAUCUAAAAAAUUACGAAAAUUGUUGUGACCUUUUUACUAUUUUAAUCAAUGACGACUUAACUACAAAAUCGUGACUUUAUUGCAUGGAAAAAGUUUGACUUUUUUUCACAUUUAUCAAGUUUUUUCUUUAAAAAAAACUUGACUUAAGGGCACAAAAAAGUAUUUUUCUCAGACUAUUACAUUUACUUAAAAACAACAACUUUUUGCAACAUUGCAACUUUUUACUCGACAAACCUAACUUCGGCAUAAAACAACUUUUUUCUCAUAUUUCCGAACAUUAUGAGUUAGUUCCGAUUUUGUUCUUAUGACUUUUUUUAUUGACACUUUUUUCUUCAAAACUCUCACAUGUACGAAGAAAGUUUACGACUUUUUUCCUCUUUUUUACAAUUCCGACUUUACUUCAAAAUUAUGACUUUCGUGUACGAACAAAAUCAAAUUUUUUCAUAUUGUUACAUUUCAUUAAAAAUGACUACAAUUUUGAGACUUUGUUUUAAAUGAAAAUCAUUUGAUAGAAUUUAAUUACAACAUUUUUCUUCCAAUUUCUGACUUUAUUCUACGAAAAAUUUUAUGACUUUUUUUAUGUUUUCAUCAGUUACGACUUUAUUUCAAAAUUAUGACUUUCGUGUACGAACAAAAUCAAAUUUUUUUGAUUUUCAUUAAAAAUCGCUACAAUUUUGAGACUUUGUUUUAAAUUAAAAUCAUUUGAUUGAAUUUAAUUACAACUUUUUUCUUCUAGUUUCUGACUUUAUUCUACGAAAAAUGUUCUGACUUUUUUCCUGUUUUCAUAAAUUAUGACUUUGAACUACAAAAUCAUGACUUUAUUGUAUGGAAAAAGUUUACGACUUUUUUCCUCUUUUUAACAAUUCCGACUUAAAUUCAAAAUUAUGACUCUCGUGUACGAACAAAAUCAAAUUUUUUCAUAUUGUUACAUUUCAUUAAAAAUGACUACAAUUUUGAGACUUUCUUUUAAAUUAAAAUCAUUUAAUUGAAUUUAAUUACAACGUUUUUCUUCUAGUUUCUGACUUAAUUCUACAAAAAAUGUUCUGACUUUUUUCCUGUUUUCAUAAAUUAUGAGUUUGAACUACAAAAUCAUGACUUUAUUGUACGGAAAAAGUUUACGACUUUUUUCUAACGUUAAUCAAUUAAGACUUUUUACUAGUUUUUUUAAAAUACCUUUUUUUUUUACCAAAAUUAUGACUUAUUGUACAAAGAAAAAAAUCGUAUUUUCUUGAAAAUGUUAUUGCAACAAUGCAACUUUUUACUCGCACUACAAUUAAAACUUUACUUAACAAAUACAACUUUGACGUAGCGCUACGAUUUUUUUUGUCAUAUUACGAAUUAUUUCUAGAACAUGAUUUAAAUGUCGUAACAUUCCGACUUUUUUUUGUCAUAUUUUGACUUUUUUGGUGUUUUUCCCCUGAAUAAAUCAGUUCUGAAAUCCACUACUCAUCGUAAAGUUACGACAAAGUUUCUUGUCAGCGUGGUCCUAACGCCCUAACUAUUGUCUGACUGCACGCCGUUAUCGGACGUCACCUUGGGAGUAAUUUAUAUUGAAAUAACACACCUGAGACAUUUCAUCAAGUCUUCUUUUGAUUGCCUUUGUUUUUAUUUUGGAGGAAAAAAAAUUGCACAAAAGAUUCCAUGAACAAUUGCUGCUAUGAGCGCUGUGGACUUCUUGCCGUCGACGCGCAAAACGAGGAGUUUUGACCAUUUUAACGGCAAGAUGAGCAGUUGAAUAUCAUUUAUUGAUCGAUUGAUUAGCAGGAGGGUCGGUUAGAGUACGUGCAAGAUGGCGUGUUGUGAGGUUGGAAACAAUUGAAGGAAAGAAGUGUGAGUGUUUGUCAUUCUGGAAGGAAACCAUCUCUCUGUAAGUCAUGCAAGAAGUCAUUACUUUUCAUUGCAGUCGCCCCCUGCUGGCCGCUGGCAGUACUUUUUCCUAUACUGUAGUAACACUAGUACUUUUCUCAUAUCAACUUUUCACGUUCUUUUGCACAAAAAAAAGUGGCUUUUUUUAUUUUUUUUAUUUUAUUUUUAAUGAUGAUGGCCGAGAUGACUCAGCAAUAUUCUUGGGAUGUUUUACGAGGAUGAUUUUCACGCCACGUUUGUAACUUUGGUGAGACCAUCACUCGGACACUUUCCGUGGAAAAUAUAUCAAAUAAAAUCUUCAACCAUCCGCAAAAAGAAGAGUCCAGAUGAUGCGACAGAAAUGUGGUUUCUCUCUCGGUGAAGGUCUUUUAAAAAAGUCAAUUCCAUGUGUUUUAUUUGUUUUCAUUAAGAAGUUCUUUUGUUGGACGACUGUCUGCGCGGCGCCUCGCUCUGGCGCCCUCUGGUGGCUGACGUCAGAAAGGCAGUUUGAGCCCAUUUUAAACCCUGCAUAGAGUUCUUUUUCUUUUGCUACCUCCGUUUUUCUCCCGUGAGGCCUUUUGUGCAGCAACAUAACUUUUUGUGUUCCUAACAAGCACAAUCAACUAAGUCAUACAAUCUUUUCAUCAUUAUUAUUAUUAUUAUGAAUAAUAUGGGCAAUAACUAGUGACAGGAUUUCAUGUUCAGUUGUGGCGUGCACAUUUCAUGACUCUGCAUAUCCUCCCAAGUGUGUGUGUGUGUGUGUGUGUGUGCGUGUGUGUGUGUGUGUGUGUGUGUGUGUGUGUGUGUGUGUGUGUGUGUGUGUGUGUGUGUGUGUGUGGAAAAUAAUCUUGAGCAGUUGUUUUCUUUUUAGAUACUUUAAUUGUUUUAUGUUACUAUGCUGAAUUCCAAAGAAAAAGCCUGUUAUAUUCAUCAUCCAUCAUGUUUUUUGCUAUCAUCUGAACAAUAACCUGGCAAGAAAAAAUAAAUAAAAGAGUAAAACAGUA